rnacentral:rRNA from 1 species
GACGACCCGAAACCAGGUGAUCUAUCCAUGAGCAGGUUGAAGGUAAGGUAACACUUACUGGAGGACCGAACCCGUGAAUGUUGAAAAAUUCUGGGAUGACUUGUGGAUAGGGGUGAAAGGCCAAUCAAACCUGGACAUAGCUGGUUCUCCGCGAAAUCUAUUUAGGUAGAGCGUCAGACGAAUUCCUUGGGGGGUAGAGCACUGGAUGGAUGCGGGGGUCGCGAGAUCUACCAAUUCUAACCAAACUCCGAAUACCCAAGAGAACUAUCUGGCAGACACACGGCGGGUGCUAACGUCCGUCGUGAAAAGGGAAACAACCCUAACCAUCAUCUAAGGCCCCCAAGUACUGGCUAAGUGGGAAACGAUGUGGGAUUGCUUUGACAACCAGGAUGUUGGCUUAGAAGCAGCCAUCAUUUAAAGAAAGCGUAACAGCUCACUGGUCAAGCGAUCCUGCGCGG